rnacentral:lncRNA from 1 species
GUGAAAAGUAACUCAGGAUUGAUUGACAGUAAAUGCAGAGAAUGCUUUAGGAAGGAAAUGAAAUGUCGUCUCCCGAAGAUGGAAGUGUUUAAAUUUUUCCUCCACUUUAGAGCUAGAAUCACUGUGAGUGGUAGCGUUUUAGAAUCAGAGAAGUAAAAAGGGAAAUUGCAUGAUUAUCAUUUGUGAUCUUAACAGGAAGUGAUCACAUUUUACCAAAGGCUCUUGCCAAAAGAAAGCCCCCGCUGGAAGGGGAGCCCUGUCUCUCCUUCUUCUAAAGAAGUACUCAGGGAGUACCUCUAUUUUUUUUCCCCUUCCUCUCUUCACUUUCUCCUUUCCUGUCCUUUUUGUUCUGCUGUCUCCUUCCUGUCCCUGUUUCCUCUCUGUGCUCUCCUCCCUUCCCCACCCUCUACCUACAGCUAGCUGAUGCUGAAGUUGGGCUCCAGAAGAAGUACCUCUCUGAUUUGAUGGCAUUAUGAGAGGUGCUUUUUGUACAUUGUCUAAUUGAGCUCUGGAAAGAGGAGAUGCCUGUAAAUCAUGGUAGGUGGCCUGGGGAGUCUUGAUUAGAGAGAGAGACAGAGAGAGAGAGACAGAGAGAGAGACCUGAGGUAAGACUUGAGAGGCACAUGGCAGUCUUACAGAGAUGCUGGAGUUGACUGGCUUGUUGGGAGGACUAAGGGUGACUCAUAUUCACAGAGUUGUAGAAUGAUGAUGGC